rnacentral:rRNA from 1 species
UAGGGAAUCUCCCGCAAUGGGCGAAAGCCUGACGGAGCAACGCCGCGUGAGUGAUGAAGGUCUUCGGAUCGUAAAACUCUGUUAUUAGGGAAGAACAAAUGUGUAAGUAACUAUGCACGUCUUGACGGUACCUAAUCAGAAAGCCACGGCUAACUACGUGCCAGCAGCCGCGGUAAUACGUAGGUGGCAAGCGUUAUCCGGAAUUAUUGGGCGUAAAGCGCGCGUAGGCGGUUUUUUAAGUCUGAUGUGAAAGCCCACGGCUCAACCGUGGAGGGUCAUUGGAAACUGGAAAACUUGAGUGCAGAAGAGGAAAGUGGAAUUCCAUGUGUAGCGGUGAAAUGCGCAGAGAUAUGGAGGAACACCAGUGGCGAAGGCGACUUUCUGGUCUGUAACUGACGCUGAUGUGCGAAAGCGUGGGGAUCAAACAGG